rnacentral:pre_miRNA from 1 species
UGUUAAAAAUUUCAUUAAUUUUUAUUGUUUAAAACUACCAUGGUUAUCAAAGUUGUCAAACAGUUACACAUAAAAUGCUAUAUGUACCUCAUAUUAAUGUGUAAACACUAAUUUUUAACCGUAAAAAUAGAUUAAAUUUUUAACA